ACCUGGGCUUGAACUGCAGUGGACCGGUGCAGAGAUGUGCCUUUUCGCAAGAACUGCUGCAGAGGUGCUGCAUGGCUGUCGUCAGCUCGUGUCGUGAGAUGUUGGGUUAAGUCCCGCAACGAGCGCAACCCUUACCCGUAGUUGCCAGCGCGUCAUGGCGGGAACUCUACGGGGACUGCCCGGGUUAACCGGGAGGAAGGUGGGGAUGAUGUCAAGUCCUCAUGGCCCUUAUGUCCAGGGCUACACACGUGCUACAAUGGGCGAUACAAACCGUUGCAAAGUCGCGAGAUGGAGCUAAUCGGAGAAAGUCGUCCUCAGUUCGGAUUGUAGUCUGCAACCCGACUACAUGAAGGUGGAAUCGCUAGUAAUCGUGUAUCAGAAUGAUACGGUGAAUACGUUCCCGGGCCUUGUACACACCGCCCGUCACAUCACGAAAGCCGGGAGCACUUGAAGAGGCUGUGGUAACCCGCAAGGGGGCUAGGUCUCA
rnacentral:rRNA from 1 species